AUGCUAGCUUCAGCACCACAUACACUAAAACUGAACCAAUACAGAGAAGAUUAGCAUGGCCCCUGCGCAAGGAUGACACACAAGUUCAUGAAGUGUUCCAUAUUUUU